rnacentral:rRNA from 1 species
AGGACGAACGCUGGCGGCGUGCCUAACACAUGCAAGUGGAGCGACGAACCAGGCUUCGGCCUGGGGCAAAGCCGCGAACGGGUGAGUAACACGUGGGUAACCUGCCCCGAUGAUUGGGACAACCCGAGGAAACUCGGGCUAAUACCGAAUGUGCCCUCCGACCAUAAGGUCGCUGGGGAAAGGAAGCUUCGGCCUUCGCAUCGGGAUGGGCCCGCGGCCCAUUAGCUUGUUGGUGAGGUAACGGCUCACCAAGGCAACGAUGGGUAGCUGGUCUGAGAGGACGAUCAGCCACACUGGGACUGAGACACGGCCCAGACUCCUACGGGAGGCAGCAGUGGGGAAUCUUGCGCAAUGCGCGAAAGCGUGACGCAGCAACGCCGCGUGGGGGAAGACGGCCUUCGGGUUGUAAACCCCGUUUCUAGCAGGACGAAGCCGCAAGGUGACUGUACCUGCAGAAGAAGCACCGGCUAACUACGUGCCAGCAGCCGCGGU